rnacentral:rRNA from 1 species
UUCCUACGGGGGGCAGCAGUGAGGAAUAUUGGUCAAUGGGCGGUAGCCUGAACCAGCCAAGUAGCGUGAAGGAUGAAGGUUCUAUGGAUUGUAAACUUCUUUUAUAAAGGAAUAAAGUGAGGCACGUGUGCCUUUUUGUAUGUACUUUAUGAAUAAGGAUCGGCUAACUCCGUGCCAGCAGCCGCGGUAAUACGGAGGAUCCGAGCGUUAUCCGGAUUUAUUGGGUUUAAAGGGUGCGUAGGCGGGCUGUUAAGUCAGCGGUCAAAUGUCGGGGCUCAACCCCGGCCUGCCGUUGAAACUGGCGG